GUCAGGAUGGCUGAGUGGUCUAAGGCACCAGACUUAAGUUCUGGUCUCUGAGAGGAGGCGUGGGUUCGAUUCCCACUCCUGACA